AUUGAACGCUAGCGGCAUGCUUUACACAUGCAAGUCGAACGAGUGGCGGACGGGUGAGUAAUAUAUCGGAACGUGCCCAGUAGCGGGGGAUAACUACUCGAAAGAGUGGCUAAUACCGCAUACUAUCGGAACGGCCGAUAUCGGAUUAGCUAGUUGGUGGGGUAAAGGCUCACCAAGGCAACGAUCCGUAGCUGGGUUGAGAGGACGAACAGCCACACUGGGACUGAGACACGGCCCAGACUCCUACGGGAGGCAGCAGUGGGGAAUUUUGGACAAUGGGGGAAACCCGGAUGCAGCCAUCCCGCGUGUAUGAGAAGGCCUUCGGGUUGUAAAGUACUUUUAGCAGAGAAGCGGUAUCUGCAGAAUAAGCACCGGCUAACUACGUGCCAGCAGCCGCGGUAAUAC
rnacentral:rRNA from 1 species